CGAGUUGAGCCCUGGAAAGGGCGUUGGCUGUCGAAGGCGGCACGUGUGAUCCUUAUCAACUCGUCGCUUGCCAGCCUUCUGUGGUUCCUCAUGAGCUUUUACAGCCUUCAUGAAACCCUUCAUCAGGAGAUCGCCAAGUACCAGGCCAGAUUUUUCUGGGCUGGCGAGGCAGGCAGACAGAAAUAUCACAUGGUCAGCUGGCCAGACAUCUGCAAACCCAAAGACCAGGGUGGCCUUGGGAUUUUGUCCUCUCGGCGCAUGAACAUCGCCCUCCUCACCCGCUGGCUAUGGCGCAUUGCCAAUGGGGAGGGAGGCCUUUGGUUGACUAUCAUUCGGAACAAGUACCUGCGUGGCCAGCCUCUGGCGUUCUGCCAGUGCUCGGGCGGUUCCCAGUUUUGGCAGGCAAUCGUCCAGCUGCUUCCAGUCCUGAGGAUAGGCACCUCCAUCUCGGUGGGCUCU
rnacentral:rRNA from 1 species